rnacentral:tRNA from 1 species
GGCGGUGUAGCUCAGCUGGCUAGAGCGUACGGUUCAUACCCGUAAGGUCGGGGGUUCGAUCCCCUCCACCGCUACCA